AGUCCGCCACCGCGUCAACAGACUCCUGCUCCUCCAAGUCCGCCACCGCGUCAGCAGACUCCUGCUCCUCCAAGUCCGCCCACUACAACGAGAACCCCCCUACAGCUACGCAUUCACUCCAACAAAACAUCGAUGCGUUGCUAGGAUUAAAGUCCCCGCUUGCCACUUCCCACUUCGCACGACUAUUGACCACUUUGUUGAAAAAGGAAAAAGAAACACAUCCUAGCGAUAAAGUACCCACAUCGCCGCCGCCUACCUUCAUCCUAUCGUGCGAGGCCGGAUCCGGUUCCUCCGGUCCCUCCUCCCUCCCCACUCAGGCCGCCUCAACCGUGCUCCGCGAUCCCAACGUCGAGGGUUUCCUCAUCAGUCCGGCGCCACCCUUCCCUCCCACCCCGAACGGCAACCCCGCGGAAUCGGAGGAGCGACACGAUGUCGACCGCGGCGAUGGUGUAGGUCGGCGACGUGCCGGACCCGAAGGUGCGGAACCACCUGGAGCAGGACACCCUCGAGUGGAUCUUCGUCGGUGUCAUGGGCGGCGUCGGCAAGACCAUCUGCAGCUCCAUCGUCUCCAUCUGCGUCUGCUAGUCCGUGUUCGUCAUCUCCAGCGACCCUGUUCUUCAUCCUCAGGGACGCCUUCCAGCAGUGCUUCACCAAGUUCUUCACCCUCGUCAAGGGCUUCUGCAACCUUUACGCCAAGGAGAAGGGUCUAGAGAAAAUGACAGACUUAAAGAAUAGAUUCAGUCAUCUGUUGAAUCAGAUUGCCAAGAAAAAUAGAUGAUGCAUGGCACAUGCUGAUUGCGAGGUCAAGAAUUGGGCUUCUACUAGAUAGUUUAGCAUUAUGUUUUAGAACAUCACUUUCAUGGUCACAUUAUGUUCUACAAUGGCUGAAACAUUGAUUGCAUGGUCAAUAAUUGGGCUACUACUAGAUAGUUUCACAAGCUGUAAUCUUUGGAUUAUGUUCUUUGUAAUGCCAAAUGCAACAGAGUUAAUUUUAUAU